GGGCAAGCGUUGUUCGGAAUUACUGGGCGUACCGGGCUCGUAGGCGGCCAACUAAGUCAGACGUGAAAUCCCCAGGCUCAACCUGGGAACUGCGUCUGAUACUGGAUGGCUUGAAUCCGGGAGAGGGAUGCAGAAUUCCAGGUGUAGCGGUGAAAUGCGUAGAUAUCUGGAGGAAUACCGGUGGCGAAGGCGGCAUCCUGGACCGGCAUUGACGCUGAGGAGCGAAAGCCAGGGGAGCAAACGGG
rnacentral:rRNA from 1 species